CCCACCUCAAGAUGAGAUUUCCCAUUUCUUUAAGAAAGUAAGAUCCCUGAGAGAUGAUCAGGUAGAUAGGUCAGGAGUGGAAGUACAGUGAUGUAUGGAGCGGACUGAUACUAAUCGAUCGAGGACUUAACCAAU
rnacentral:rRNA from 1 species